CGUGUAGGCGGCCUUUUAAGUCAGACGUGAAAUCCAUGGGCUUAACCCAUGAAUUGCGUUUGAAACUGGAGGGCUUGAGGAUCGGAGAGGGCAGUGGAAUUCCCAGUGUAGCGGUGAAAUGCGUAGAUAUUGGGAGGAACACCAGUGGCGAAGGCGACUGCCUGGACGACACCUGACGCUGAGGCGCGAAAGCUAGGGGAGCAAACGGGAUUAGAUACCCCGGUAGUCCUAGCCGUAAACGAUGGGUACUAGGUGUGGGAGGUAUCGACCCCUUCCGUGCCGCAGUUAACACAAUAAGUACCCCGCUGGGGAGUACGGCCGCAAGGUUGAA
rnacentral:rRNA from 1 species